UUCUGUGUUUGGGAUCAUUGUCUUGCUGAAAUGUCCACACUCAUUUUAUCUUCAUCAUCCUGGUAGAAGGCAGCAGAUUUUUACCAAGAAUGUCUCUGCACAUUUUUCCAUUCAUCCUUCCUACAAUUUUAUGAAGUUUUCCAAUGUCACCUGCUGAAAAACAGCCCCACAUCAUGAUGUUCCCACUUCCAAACCUCACUGUUGGCUUGGUGUUUUUGGGGUGGUGUGCAGCACCAUUUAUGGUGUGUGUUAUGGCAUCCAAAGAGUUCAGUUUUGGUCUCAUGUAACCAGAUGAUAUUUUCCCAGUAUUACACAGGCUUGUCUAAAUGUUAUGCAGCAAACUUUAAACGAGCUUCAACAUGUUUUUUCUUCAACAAUGGAGUCUUGUGUGGUGAGCGUAUGUACAACCCAUGGCGAUCGAGACCAUUACUUAUUGUUUCUUUGAAACAAAUGUUCAGUUUGUUCAUGUUUGUUUGUGUGUUUGUUUUAUUUCUACUGGAUGAUCAUAUAAUGUGAAAAUGUUGCCAAAAUACAGUAUCUGCAGAUUAUUCUGUCAUGAGACCUGUAUCAAACCUGACUGUCACAAACACAUUUACCAUCACCACAUUUAUGCCAAUCACUGCCUUGGGGGGCAGCAGAAAUCAAACAAAAGAUAGUACCAAAGAGAAGGCAGGGUGUGUCUGUUUGCAGUUAGUGCGUCAUUU